GUUUUGGGUCUAUUAACUGAUGUUGCUAAUUUUUUUUUUUUCUUUUUGAUUUCAUCAUCUUUGAAACCUAGGAAGGAAAUGAGAUAUUGGCAUGAAUAAAACAACAAUGUGGCUUUUGGACACUCAAGCUAAAUAAAAGAAAUUGUACACGACCACUGCUUACUUAUUUAUGGUGUCUUUUCUCAAGCUACCCUCUCGGAGUUCUGGGAAGCUCCGCUUGCUGGUGUAUUUUAAGAAAAUUGUGAAGAAGUCAAGACUUGUGAGAGAAUUCUCCCAUCUUUCUUCUUGCCAUCCCCUUGCUUUGGCCUUACCCACUUGGGUAUCCAGUAUCCUCACAGUGGACCCCAAAUGCAACAUACCAUCUGACCUUGUCCUCUCUGUACAAUUACAAGUUCUCUCUCUGGUUGUGAAGCACAAAGUUGGUGAGUAUUCGAUUUCCAGCCCCAUUUUGUUUUCAACACAGUUAAAUCAA
rnacentral:lncRNA from 1 species